CUAACACAUGCAAGUUGAACGCAUAUAUUUUUAUAUGAGUAGCGAACGGGUGCGUAACACGUGAGAAUCUACCCAUAGCUUAUGGUUAAAUGCCAUAGAAUCUUAUAGAUUUAGAUAUAUAUCGGUUAUGGAUGAGCUUGCGGGGUAUUAGGUAGUUGGUGUGGUAAUGGCGCACCAAGCCCAAGAUGCCUAGCCGGUUUGAGAGAACGAUCGGCCACACUGGGACUGAGACACGGCCCAGACGCUUACGAGCGGCAGCAGUGGGGAAUAUUGGACAAUGGGCGAAAGCCUGAUCCAGUGAUAUCGCUUUGGGGAUGACGGCGACAUA
rnacentral:rRNA from 1 species